AUUCAAAUAUAAUUAAAUUUAUUAAAACUUAACAAAUUUAAAAGUUUUUUUUGUUUGGAGACCCGCUAUGUACAUACAAAUUUCCAGUUUCUAUUUUUUUUUGGAUAUUUUUAGGGUCUGAAACUUUUUAUCCAAACUGACCCAAACCCAACUGGAUCCGACCCGAACCAGAACCAAAUAUUUAGAAUUAUUCUAUUGGAUAGUAAAUCAUAUACCCAUUAAUCCCAAACCCGAACGGGUUCUACCAGAACUCGAAUGGGUUACUCGUAUGCCCAACCCUAUUCUCUGAUUUAAUUAUCUAAAAACUCCCAAAAAAAACAUAUGUUUUGCUGACUACUUUUUAUUCAAAAAAAUGUACAUCCUCUUCUACCAAAAUCAUUUCAUAAGACAUCCCAAAACCCUUGGAAUAAUGAUUUUAUGAAUGAAGAAUCCUAAUUUGUAUAUACCAAGAGGUUUUAAAAAGUUUUAAGUUUUUAUUUCUAAUGGCAUACCUAUGUAAUUACUUACAAAAAAUAAGGUUACAUUUAAAAUGCUUAUUUAUAAUUUUUGAUAAGUGUGUAUGUGAGAAGGUACGGACAUCGUGAUGGUAAUCUGCUUAUUUAUAAUUUUAACUUGCAGUAUACCACAUGUAGGCUUAUAUUUUAUUUAAACUAAA
rnacentral:sRNA from 1 species